CCUGCUUUUGUGGGGUGCUCGAGUGGCGAACGGGUGAGUAACACGUGAGUAACCUGCCCUUGACUUUGGGAUAACUUCAGGAAACUGGGGCUAAUACCGGAUAGGAGCUCCUGCUGCAUGGUGGGGGUUGGAAAGUUUCGGCGGUUGGGGAUGGACUCACGGCUUAUCAGCUUGUUGGUGGGGUAGUGGCUUACCAAGGCUUUGACGGGUAGCCGGCCUGAGAGGGUGACCGGCCACAUUGGGACUGAGAUACGGCCCAGACUCCUACGGGAGGCAGCAGUGGGGAAUAUUGCACAAUGGGCGGAAGCCUGAUGCAGCAACGCCGCGUGCGGGAUGACGGCCUUCGGGUUGUAAACCGCUUUCGCCUGUGACGAAGCGUGAGUGACGGUAAUGGGUAAAGAAGCACCGGCUAACUACGUGCCAGCAGCCGCGGUGAUACGUAGGGUGCGAGCGUUGUCCGGAUUUAUUGGGCGUAAAGGGCUCGUAGGUGGUUGAUCGCGUCGGAAGUGUAAUCUUGGGGCUUAACCCUGAGCGUGCUUUCGAUACGGGUUGACUUGAGGAAGGUAGGGGAGAAUGGAAUUCCUGGUGGAGCGGUGGAAUGCGCAGAUAUUCAGGAGGAACACCAGUGCCGAAGGCG
rnacentral:rRNA from 1 species